UACGAAGGGUGCAAGCGUUGUUCGGAUUUACUGGGCGUAAAGCGCGCGCAGGCGGGUUAAUAAGUCAGGUGUGAAAUCUCGGAGCUCAACUCCGAAACUGCGCCUGAAACUGUUAACCUAGAAUCUCGGAGGGGGUAGGGGAAUUUCACAUGUAGGGGUAAAAUCCGUAGAGAUGUGAAGGAACACCGGAGGGGAAAGCGCCUACCUGGACGAGUAUUGACGCUGAGGCGCGAAAGCGUGGGGAGCAAACAGG
rnacentral:rRNA from 1 species